rnacentral:rRNA from 1 species
AGUGAACGCUGGCGGUAGGCCUAACACAUGCAAGUCGAACGGCAGCACAGUAAGAGCUUGCUCUUACGGGUGGCGAGUGGCGGACGGGUGAGGAAUACAUCGGAAUCUACUUUUUCGUGGGGGAUAACGUAGGGAAACUUACGCUAAUACCGCAUACGACCUACGGGUGAAAGCAGGGGAUCUUCGGACCUUGCGCGAUUGAAUGAGCCGAUGUCGGAUUAGCUAGUUGGCGGGGUAAAGGCCCACCAAGGCGACGAUCCGUAGCUGGUCUGAGAGGAUGAUCGGCCACACUGGAACUGGGACACGGUCCAGGCUCCUACGGGAGGCAGCAGUGGGGAAUAUUGGACAAUGGUCGCAAACCUGAUCCAGCCAUACCGCGUCGGUGAAGAAGGCCUUCGGGUUGUAAAGCCCUUUUGUUGGGAAAGAAAAGCAGCAGGUUAAUACCCCGCUGUUCUGACGGUACCCAAAGAAUAAGCACCGGCUAACUUCGUG